UUUUUGAAAUAUAAUUUAAAGUCUAAUCUGCCCACUGAUUAAGUAUUAAAGGGCUGCAGUAUUUUGACUGUACAAAGGUAGCAUAAUAAAUAGUCUUUUAAUUGGAGACUUGUAUGAAAGAUUUGAUGAAAUAUAAACUGUCUCUUAAAAAAUUAUAUAAUUUAAUUUUUUAGUUAAAAAGCUAAAAUAUUUUUAAAAGACGAGAAGACCCUAUAGAGUUUAAUAAUUUAUAUUUUUAAAAUUUUUUAUUAGUGUUUAAAUUAAAAAAGUAAAAAUUAUUUUAUUGGGGUGAUAGAAAAAUUUAAAAAACUUUUUUUAAAAAAUUUACAUUAAUAUAUGAAUAAAUGAUCCGUAAUUUACGAUUAAAAGAAAAAAUUACCUUAGGGAUAACAGCGUAAUUUUUUUUUUUAGUUCAAAUAAGAAAAAAAGUUUGCGACCUCGAUGUUGGAUUAAGAUAAAAUUUAAAUGCAAAAGUUUAAAAAUUUUGAUCUGUUCGAUCAUUAAAAUCUUACA
rnacentral:rRNA from 1 species